AGGCUCAAUAAAUGUGUCAGGUAGCAGCAGGAGAAAGCCACCUCCUCUGGUCCCUCUAAUUGGAUUCACACAUGUGGUAGAAGGCCUGGAUUCAUUUGGAACAAAAGCCUAUUCUACUCACACCGUCUAUACUGUGGUUUGACAUUUUUAGUUUCCUGACUUCCUGGAGAAGAGCCAGAAGUGCAGCCAAGAAUCGGUUCAUUCGUUGGGUCCUAUUUUGAGGAUCCACUGCCUUCACCUUCAGCUCUGCAGAACCUUGUGGUACAAUCAUCCAUGACUCAGUGACAGAUGAUGCUCACGCAGACCUCUGCUGGUGUCUCAGAGGGAGGAAGGAUUGCCGGAAGCAGUGGGAGGACAGUACACAAAAGUGUGAGGAAACAGCCUGAAUAGCAAAAGAUCCAGGACAGUUUGCACAGGAGCUGAUGCUGCAUGUGGAGGCCUUUCACUGCUCACGUCUCUUCAGGCAGCACACAUUCUGUCCAUCAGUGAUGCAGCACUACCUUGUGGAUUGCUUGUUUUGUGGACAUUCACAAUAACCCUGACCCUCGCCCCUCUUAUGGAAGGUGAAGCCAGGGUGAAACACUGACUGGCUGCAUGCACAGAGGUCAGCACAACCCAGGUCAAAGUUCAACAAAUUUGAACUUUCGGUGUACCCCUGCUCCACGCUGCACACUACAGACGUCUGUGCAGCACAACACAUGUGCAACAAUACGCUGUAAUGUGAACAUACAGUACCUUAACUUGUCUAACUUUACAUUUUUCCUGGGUCAUGUUUGUAGAAUCUCUCGCUCCCCAGUUCUUCAGGAUAUAUCAGCCUUGAGACAUAAAUUACAAUUUAAUAACCUUUGGGGGAAAAAAAUCUGUGUUUUCACUGUCAUACAUCUAGAACAUAGUGAAUUUUGAUAUAAGAAUAUGAUGAAUCAUUCCCAGUUUCUCCCUGAAGGUCUAUGCAAUUUUCAAAUAUUGUGCCAAGAAAAUGCAAUUUUCAGGUCAAUGUGAAGGGCACAGGCGGAACUGAAUACAUAAACAUGAGUUCAGUUGAGGUUGUAGAAGAUGCUGCAUUGCCCUGAGAUGUCAGGAAGUCAGCAGAGUGACACCCAAGGUGCCCGUUCUGCCACAGCGAGUCAUGAUAGCAGAUGGUGAUAAUGUGAGAAGUGUUGCAUAAGGAACAGUUCCUGGAGGUGAACGUGCAAGUGAUCUUUAAGUAGUGAAUCCAUAAGUUUGGUUCAUUAGCUUCUGAAGGUUAGACAAAGCCAUUAACUUUGUCAAAUGUACAUAGGGUUUACUUUCAAAUUGGAUGUUUCUGUACAUUGUGAUUCAUACUGUAUAAAACACCAUUAUUUACAGCCAAGUCAAGUUUUGUGUCAUGUAUGUAAUGAGAUAGAGUUUAAUGGUGUGUAGGGUCGUGAAUGGGCUUGUGGCAAGUUCAACUUUCAUGCAGGACAUCAAGCUUCCUCCUGUGAUUAUGUUAGAAAACUAACCAUUUAUUACCAACAAUGUGAAACAGGUCCCAUGCAAACAGUGAAAUAGUCACUAAAAUGCUACUGGACAUCUUUGAACUAUGCGUUACAAUUCAUUUCUUACCAGCAUUUUGCUGACAGUUCUCAGUUCAUGGAGAAUUAAACGAUUUCUACUCAACUUUUUAUGUACAACUCAAAGAAAGUGCAAAUGUUUCACUGUGUAUUUUUGGACCCGGUGUAACCACCCACCCUCCCAAAUUACAGUAACUUCAUCUUUUAAAGAAAUGUGAAACCGCUUUUUUUUUUCUUAAGCCGGAGCUCAGUUACACAAACAUCAGCCGCUUCUAUUCAUAUCUUGACAAUAUCACUGCUGUGUCCCAUAGAGAUCCCUAUCCAGACUAAGCUGUGCACUGUAAAGCUCCUGCAGUCUGUGUGCUUCUUUACACAGAUGGCCUCUGGGGCUGCAGUGGGAUUCUGUAGUAAGACAAGUUAAUAAACUCAAUGCAACACACAAA